UUGCGCGGCCCUGCCCCUGCCCCUUGGUAGGCCAAUAGACAGCGGGCAUGGGGGCGGAGCCUAAGGGAGGCGACCUGGGCGCUCUCGCGGUUCCUUGCUUACACUCGCUGUGUUGUGGUCACGUGGCUGGCCCUGGCUUUGGGCGCGGCGCUUGUUUUGACUUCUUCCUGGCUCCCUGAGCCCUGCGGCCAGGUGCCAGGGUGGGCCCUCCAGCAGUUCAAUCCCGAACUCCAGUUUCCCCGUUCUUUCGGACCUGGCUGGAGCCCCGCUGCUUCUCCACUACGGGAUCCCGCUCGGCAGGUGACUUAGAGCAUCGCUACAAAAAAUAUGGAAGAAUGCCCAGCCGAAGAAUUCUUGCCUGCUAUCACACGUGAUCCAAGAAGCAGUGGUUGCCAACUUCCUUGAUCCCAACAAAUGUUCCUAAGGGGUGAUGGGCCAAGAUGUUCUAGAAAAAGUGCCCAGGACUCUGCAGGUGUUGGUGCCACAAAGUCCUUCAGAUGCCUUUUUCCCUGUAUUUUCCUGGAAUCCUCCCUGACUACCUUGGUACUAGUGUUUACAAAGGGGCCAGGAAGACAACUGGGUACUAAUUUCUGAUCUCUUAACUUCUGUUAAAGGACUUAUAUUGGAGCUAGUGGGAUUUGUCCCUUCUCUUGCUCCUGGAUUUCAGUUCAUAGGUCAUUUAAGACACAUCUUCAAGGCAAGGACCAGAGGUAGUUUCUUUGGGGAUCCUUUGAAGGGUCUGAGUCUAGUCAGGUUGAGAAAAGCUGGGAGCCUCUGCAGUGAAGCAAGCUGUGCAACUGUCUAAUUUCUAUUUGCAAAAAUAAAUAAAUAAAUGAAUAAA